AGCAUCAAGAAUAGAAACAAAAUAUGGUAAAUAUGUGUAGUUAGAGUAGGGCUCUGGGGUCUCAUAUAGUACCUGUAAUAGGAGUUGCCCCAAAAUUUCACACGUUUGCCACUAGGACCACGUAUAAAGGUAGUACUGAGAGUUGGGGAGAGGAAAUAAUUACUUUAACCCAAAAAGGGAAAGCAUGUGUAAAUCUUGGGGCGGCCCCUACUAUCGCUACCUUUGAGUAUACUCCUAGGAGUAUGAUGAAAGUCGCUAUUAUAUCACACUCCAGAGUCCCACUCUAUCCCCAAUACCUAUAGGUAACUAAAUAAUAUAUUUACCAGGCAUACCAGGUGUCGUGGGUGCUAUAGAUGGAACCCACAUACAAAUAAAACAACCAACACAUAACCCCGUAGAUUUCUUUAAUAGAAAAGAUGUACACUCGGUGGUUUUACAAGGAAUUUGCAACGAUAAAUUAAUAUUUACAGAUGUAUAUAUUGGUAUGCCAGGCCGACUGCAUGAUGCGCGAAUUUUUAGAAAUAGCCCAAUCUAUAAUAGACUUGUAAACAAUCCUGCUUUAUUAACACCACAGCAACACUUACUCGGAGAUGCAGCUUAUCCGCUGCUUGAUAAUCUCUUAAAACCAUACAGGGAUAAUGGCCACCUUACAGAAGUACAAAUUCGGUUUAACGAAGUGAUGAGUAGCAUACGGUCGAUGAUCGAAAGGUGCUUUGGUCUAUUGAAAGGAAAAUGGAGAAGACUAAAAUAUCUUGAUAUGUCUCUAGCAGAUAAACUACCUCAAGUUAUAUUGGCAGCUUGUAUUCUGCAUAACUUUAUUCUGAUCAUCGAUAAUGAUGCAGAUAACCAGAAUGACAAUGGUCACAAUGGUGAUGACAUAGG